UUCCCCGAGGAGCGUUGCGACGGCGUGCGAUCACGCUGCCAGGCUCGGGGCCACGCCACACAUGUGGCGCUGCCAACGACGCUCACCCCCG
rnacentral:ncRNA from 2 species